UAUGGGGGGAGCAAGCGUUGUUCGGAUUUACGUGGCGUAAAGGGCGCGUAGGCGGCCACCGCAAGUCGGUUGUGAAAUCUCCGGGCUUAACCCGGAAAGGUCAAUCGAUACUGCGGGGCUAGAGUGCAGAAGGGGCAACUGGAAUUCUCGGUGUAGCGGUGAAAUGCGUAGAUAUCGAGAGGAACACCUGCGGCGAAGGCGGGUUGCUGGGCUGACACUGACGCUGAAGCGCGAAAGCUAGGGGAGCGAACGGG
rnacentral:rRNA from 1 species